rnacentral:rRNA from 1 species
AUGACUGCAGACGAGCGAGAUCGAUGGCAACCGACGUCAACCACCGGUGCACUCGCCAUGCCCAGUCACCUUUGUACUCUCUCGGCUUCGACGACAGCUCGGAUUUCACCUCCGAUCAGUGCUCCAUGCUCCCCACCGACGCACCCCGUCGCCGUCCACCGAGCCACCUCGCCACCACUUGCAGAAGGAGGAGGCCUCGGCCUGAAGCUAGAGGAGGACUCGACCUGCAUCUGCAGAUGGGUGGCGGCGGGAGGUUACUUCUUUGGGCUAUAUUCGACAGAGUACGUCAAUGAAUGGAUGGUUUCUGAAGAUUUCCAACUUGAAGGGCUCACCUUUUAUACACAUGAAUGCACGGUGCAUACGCCACGCUUCAUUAUGCUAUGGAUGCUUGUCUUACCCAACCUCUGGAUAACAUUGGUGUAUCGGAGAGCCCAUCCUACCUUCUUGCAGUGGUCCACCCCGGUCACCACAAUCGGCGAUGUGGAUCGGCCGCCGCUGUCCCGAGCAGGGGACCUCACAAACCACGCCCCAACCGUCCGCGCGCGUCAAUGGGUCGCUGCCCCAUUCCUCCGUCUCCCUGAUGAUGCUACCAGGCAGAGGCUCCCCCACCACCGCGCAGACUACUACCGGUGCAGCUUCACUGCCGCACCAUGGCGUUCAUCGACGCCUCCUCCGGCCAUUCAAGUACGCGGCCCGUGGAGGUUCACAACUACAGGGCCCCCGGAAUCCUACUCCUGCCAUGCUCAGACGAGGAAGUGUUUCGAAGAAACGGAAUAUCAAACGGAGUCCAAACGGAAUGAAACCUUCGGGAACGUGAUUUUCUCACCGAAUGUGAUCCAGGAGAAUUGGACCCUACGCCAAGGCAUCGGAGAGGCGGUCACGAGGGUGGGGCGCGCCCCCCGCCCUAGGGCGCGCCCCCUGCCUCGUGGGCCCCUCGGUGCUCCUCCGACGUACUUGUUCCUCCUAUAUAUACCUACGUACCCCCAAACAAACAGAAUAGAAGCCAAAAACCUAAUUCCACCGCCGCAACUUUCUGUAUUCACGAGAUCCCAUCUUGGGGCCUGUUCCGGAGCUCCGCCGAAGAGGGCCGUCAUCACGGAGGGCUUCUACAUCAUCAUAGCCUCUCCGAUGAAGUGUGAGUAG